GUUUUCUACCCCAGUCAGCAUUAUUGUCCAAGACUGAAGACUCCAAGCAGAAAACACUCUGCUCUACACCAAGGCGAUGAAGAGGCGCAAACUCGGAGAAAUACAGUCAAGAUUAAAUUGAUUUAACUGAUGAAUACUAGAGCUAGAACAAUCAUCGAAAAAGGCUUUCAAGCUAGAAGAACAAAUAGGUUGAAGCUGGGAGAUUAAAGUUUAAAGAAUGAAGCCUAUAGAAGAUUCCAUAUGAAAAUCACUCUGGAUUUCCAUUUUGGACAAGAUGUAGCAUGAAGAAUUAUAGAGGACACGGAAUUUGUGCUUGUGGCAAUGGCCACGGAAGAAAAUUUUGAGACAAGCACUGCCUCAUUGGUUACAGCCUUGGAUGCUGCCAUAUCAUACCACCUUGAUUAUUCUACUUCAUUUGCUUCUCUGCCUAGAAGGGUAGGUGCUUGAUGCUCAUCUGCUUUAUGACGUUUUUUCGGACAAUAUAUUUGUAUAUAGUAAAAUAAGAUUUAUUUAUUUAGUUUAUAUUGAUUAAUAUGCAUUUUCGUCAUCAGUUUUUAUUAUUCAGAAAAUUUAACUAAAACAGAAAAUAUACAAAGCAUGGCUUUCUACAAUUAAUGGUUCUGUUCUCCAGUGGUGUUUUGUUACUAGUCCUUGUAAUUAGUUUCUCGGCUCUUCAGAUUCGAUAGUCCAUCCAAGGUUGUCUUUCCACUUUCUUUUUUGAAGCCAAUCAUACACGAAUAUUGCUUUUUGUUUUUGUCUGAUUAUGCUAUUGAUUACAUAAUGCCACUAAUUAUUUCUUCUUUACACAGUGGUUGAAGAUCUAUUCCUGAGAAGGGAGCCUAUGCCUUCUAUGGAUGUGAUUUAUUUCAUACAACCUUUAAAAGAGAAGUGUCAAUUACCCUCAAGCUUAUUCACUUCCCAAGUCUAAAUGAUUUAGUUUUUUAGUAUGGUCUGAUAUUGAUGGUCUUUAGAGUUUGAAAUAUGGAAAGUAGCAUUCGAAACUAAAGUUGGCACUUUUUUUUCUAUGAACUUUUGAAUGCAGAUGAACUUGGAGUACUUUGCCAUGGACAGACAGAUACUGUUUCAAGACACAUGGAGGAGCAAGGUCUUUUUUCUUGAAUUUGCUUUUUACUGGUUCAAUUGUAUCCUGAUAUGUGAGAGCUAAGUUGGCCUAUAAGGAUUAAAGAGGCUAUCCCCUGUUAUCAAUUUGUCAACUUUCAUUGAAUUGGGAUCUCCUGGUCUAAUCAUAAUUGGACCAGAAGGGGGAUACUUUUAGGAAGAACGUGUUCAGAAGAUCGAGACAAUUUAAAGGGCUACAUGAAUUUUGAUAUAUGCUGCUCCCCAAUGUUUAAAACAGAUGAAUUGGAAUCACAUGUUCAUAGGAACCAUGGCGACCUUCUUAUAGUGCAGAGACAAUGAAGGAAGAAGGAAAUGAGUGGGAAGCUCCCAGUGCUAGGAAACUGGUGGCUUCGGAGUCAACUAUUCAAGCACCACCAAGUCGAUUCCAUAAUACCUUCUUUUAACUUAAUAAUUUUAAUUACCUAAAUCUAACUAGACUAACUCUUUUGUGUAGAUUAUGCCUUGACUUAAUGGCUAAUUUAUGUAUGUGACUUAGAUUUUGAACGAGUUUGUAAGACUAUAUUGUCACGGUCAUGGUACCGCUUUUGGAUUGUUGGCUACUUGAUGCUAAUUAGAAUUUUGAAUUGACAGUUGAAAUUUGUUGACAAUUGAUA